rnacentral:rRNA from 1 species
UAAACGACUCUCGGCAANGGAUAUCUUGGCUCUCGCAUCGAUGAAGAACGUAGCGAAAUGCGAUACUUGGUGUGAAUUGCAGAAUCCCGUGAACCAUCGAGUCUUUGAACGCAAGUUGCGCCCGAAGCCAUUAGGCCGAGGGCACGUCUGCCUGGGCGUCACGC